rnacentral:rRNA from 1 species
CCUGGCUCAGGAUGAACGCUGGCGGCGUGCCUAAUACAUGCAAGUAGAACGCUGAAGCUUGGUGCUUGCACCGAGCGGAUGAGUUGCGAACGGGUGAGUAACGCGUAGGUAACCUGCCUGGUAGCGGGGGAUAACUAUUGGAAACGAUAGCUAAUACCGCAUAACAGUCGACAUUGCAUGAUGUUGAUUUGAAAGGGGCAAUUGCUCCACUACCAGAUGGACCUGCGUUGUAUUAGCUAGUUGGUGAGGUAACGGCUCACCAAGGCGACGAUACAUAGCCGACCUGAGAGGGUGAUCGGCCACACUGGGACUGAGACACGGCCCAGACUCCUACGG